rnacentral:rRNA from 1 species
CCUACGGGUGGCUGCAGUGGGGAAUAUUGGACAAUGGGCGCAAGCCUGAUCCAGCAAUACCGCGUGUGUGAAGAAGGCCUUAGGGUUGUAAAGCACUUUCAAUGGGGAGGAAAACCUACCGGUCAAUACCCGGUAGCUUGACAUUACCUGUAGAAGAAGCACCGGCUAACUCCGUGCCAGCAGCCGCGGUAAUACGGAGGGUGCGUGCGUUAAUCAGAAUUAGUGUGGGCGAAGCGUUAAGUCAGAGUUCAAAGCCCCGGGCUUAACCUGGGAACUGCAUUUGAAACUGGCGGACUAGAGUUGAGUAGAGGGGAGUGGAAUUUCAGGUGUAGCGGUGAAAUGCGUAGAUAUCUGAAGGAACACCAGUGGCGAAGGCGACUCCCUGGACUCAAACUGACGCUGAGGUACGAAAGCGUGGGUAGCAAACAGGAUUAGAUACCCCUGUAGUC